rnacentral:misc_RNA from 1 species
AAAAAAUGUCUCCUCUCCUCCCUUUUGCAGAAAAUUUCAACUAACUCCAAUUUUGACUCUUCCACUUCACUUGAUGAGAUGUCACAAGCUAAUUGGAUGAGAAAAUACCCUCAUAUGGUAUGUCACAACUGGCCAUGCACCUGGAGUCAAUCCCACAGCUAGCCAUGUGCCUUUUACAAUCUCACAAGGAGCCAUGAGACAUCUCACAGCUUGCCAUAACAUAUUCUGCCACCAUGAAACUUCCUCCAUUUUUUUACCAUUUUUCCACCACUUCUUGCAUAAAAUGAACAAACUUCAAUUAGACAAAAGAAAAUCACUUUUAACUUAAUUAACUAUAAAAUGUAAGUAAAAAUUAAUUAAAAGACUAAAU